ACUAAAAAAAGUUGGUUUAGGGUUUAGUUACUCUUUAAUGUGUAAGUUACCACGUUGUGUUUAUAUUCUCAUCCGCUUGGCUUUACCUGUUACAUAAAUUAUGCGUUAUUAAUAAGGUGUAUAACUAAAUUUUAUCUUUCAAAUUCGUUAAACUACGUUAAGCAUUUUAGAAAGUCCCAUGUGAACAUAAUAAGAGAUUGCUUAACAUUUAGUUUUACAAACGGUUUUAACGUAUGAGCGUAUGUUAUGUGUGUGUGGUGGCCAAUCGGAAAAACAUUAUAUUUUAAAUGUGAAUAUGUUUAAACAUAAAGGCUGAAACCUAAUUUGCAUAAAAUUUGCAUGUUUUUGUUUUGUAUUAAAUUGCUUUUGAGGCCAAGGUAGCUGUACAGUAAAUAUUCAGCCUCGAUCAGAAAACCAUGUCCCAGUGUCCUAACACACAGACCUGUGGCCAUGGUGCAGUGAUUCGAGUAGAGUACAUCUACUCUGGUUAUCAUUUCAAAACAGUAUUUACUGAAAAAUAUGAGUGUUUAGCAUCAUGUAUUAAAUGUGUUAAAUAUGUCCUUUUUUCCCUGCAUUUAUUCUGCUGUCUAAAAUUCUUUGGGAGGAUAAAUUAAGGAGGAUGUAACAAAAUACACUGCAAGAACUGGAAUGAGAGACAAGUGAGGAUGAAGAGGACAACAGAAUAUCCAUCCUUUCUUCACCACCUCACAGAGUUUGAGUGAAACAACUUGUAUUAGGACUCACAGGAUUACUUUAUACCAAGACUGAUUAUUUUAUACCAGAAGUAUGGAAUUUUUUUGAAGCUACUGUAUUAUUUCUUAUGACAAUUCAUUUUGAUGUGCAUUCAGAACUGUAAGUUGGUAAGUACAUUUACUGUAUUUACUGUAAGUAAAGGCUAAAGAGUAUAUCUCCUCUAGUUCUAAGUUCUAACAACGUUCCCAAAGGUCCCAAUAAUGUUAAGCCAACAUAAAAGUGUCCAGUUUUUAAAUUGUUUAGGAAUGUUUCUUGAUUGUGCGAAUGUUAGAGGAAUGUUACAUUUUAUUUUCAGACAAUGUCAUGUUUAAAUGUACUCACAAUGUUUAAAACACAUGUUUAGUAUAUUUUAUGAAUGUUUAUAUGCAAUAUUUUAACAUAACAUUAAGAAAUAAUGUUUUACAACAGUUUGUAAAUAAUAGAAUGUAAUGUUUUUUUUAUCAUUACAAGCAAAAACAUUCAUAACGUUAUUGGGAACUUUGGGAACUUUCAAGGAACGUUCUUAGAACCUUUCUCUGUGGUUGAGCAUUGUGUUAGCAUCAUAAAACGCCAUGGGUUCGAACAAGGGAAUGCACAUGCUGAUAAAAAAUUUAUACUUUGCACUGUAUGUUAUUUGCCUUUUUCUGUAAAUGUGAAGAUAAAUGUAAAGACAGACAGUCAUUGUUUCAUUUUAAACCUUGACAUGAUUGCGUGUGAAGUCCUAUGCCAAAGACUCUCCAAAUACUGCAUCUACACAUUCUUCCUGAUGCGUAUAUUUUGUUGGUAUAUCCUGGUUGUUGCAGACCUGACAGUAAACUUGACUGUGAGCAUCAUAUCCAUCAGGUAUAGCUGUUUACUUGCAUUACUCAUUUAGAGAAAUGACGGGUCAAAAUUGAUUAUAUGGAUUAUAUUUUCAUCACCCCUUUUUGUAUGUCUUUGGGACACUUGAAAUAUAUAGCACGUAUAAUGUGGAGCCAUAAUGCGGUCACAGACUACUCCCAUUGUAACUGGAAAACCAAAGAAAAUCAUUGUUUAAAUGAUAAAAUUAUAAUUUUUGGAUUAACUAAACCUGUAAUCAGUGUUAUACGUAUGUAUGUUUAUAAUUUGUGUUAUUUUAAAUGUAUUACUGCAAAUGAUUUGAAAUGUGUAUGUUUUAAAUGUAAUUUCACACAACUUCUUAAAGUAUUUGUAUUGUUUUAAAUAAAGGCUUCAAUAUUUGAAA